rnacentral:rRNA from 1 species
CCUACGGGUGGCAGCAGUGAGGAAUAUUGGUCAAUGGGCGCUAGCCUGAACCAGCCAAGUAGCGUGAAGGAUGACUGCCCUAUGGGUUGUAAACUUCUUUUAUAUGGGAAUAAAGUGCAGUCUGUAUACUGCUUUGCAUGUACCUUAUGAAUAAGGAUCGGCUAACUCCGUGCCAGCAGCCGCGGGAAUACGGAGGAUCCGAGCGUUAUCCGGAUUUAUUGGGGUUUAAGGGAGCGUAGGCGGGUUGUUAAGUCAGUUGUGAAAGUUUGCGGCUCAACCGUAAAAUUGCUGUUGAUAAUGGCAGCCUUGAGGUGAGUAGAUGUUUGCUGAGUUCGUUGUGUAGUUGUUAUAUUCUGAGUGUGUUUGAAUAAUUCUGAUUGCGAAGGCAGCCUGCUGUAUU